GCAGUCCGCACAAUCGAUAAGUCCACCGAUAUUAACAGCUGUUUUUUACAACAGAAAAAAACACAUCACUAACAAAACAAAACAGCUGCCGCGCAAUUGGAAAUUGCGCUAAACAAAAGGAAAUCCAAAACAAACUAUUGACGACGGGCCACAGCUGGACCCCGGCGUACCCACCCUGCCUGAGAUGGCCACAUCGGCGCCAUCUCCCUUUGCGUUGGCCACUAUAUCAGUGGCUGCUCCUCAUCCGGUGUAGCGCUGUCGAAUUUCCCUCCCCUCCAUGCUGAGAAGACUCACACAACCAUGUUCAACGUAUAAUAUUAAUAGAUAUUCGAAUUUCAUUACAGCUACACGGAACAGGAUUCGAAGGAAAAGCAAAUAACAAAACAAACAAAGCGGAACAACAAAGAAAUAAUAACGGAGUAGGGACAAUUUAUAUAUGUUACGUAAAGAGAUCACAGAUAGGUAUAUUUAUGUAUGUAUGUAUGUAUACGCAUAUUUGGGUGUAUGUAUGUA